UUUCAUUUUUCUGUGUCCAACGUUUGACCAUUUGUCUUAUUUAAAAAAUUUAUAAAAAACUUAAAAAAAAAUUAGUCACGUAUAAAGUACUAUUCAUGUUUUAUCAUCUAGUAAGAAUAAAAAUACUAAUCUCAAAAAAGUUUCAAAUAAGACGAAUGAUAAACGUUGGAUAGAAAAAACGAAAAAUGAGGUUAUU
rfam:Oryza brachyantha chromosome 10, whole genome shotgun sequence.